rnacentral:snRNA from 1 species
AAAUGUCACAUGUACUGGACUAAAUAAACGUCUAAAAGUGAAAUUGGUUCACCCAGGGCGAGGCUUGGCCAUUGCAUUGCGGCUGAGCUGACCUCUGCGAAGACUGCAUCAUUUGUGGUAGUGGGGGACUGCGUUCGCGCUCUCCCCUG